rnacentral:rRNA from 1 species
AUGGAUAUCGCCGACGAAUUCCAACUGCUGCAACGACAAGCACAAGCGGUGCAAGACAUUAUACUCCCGGCCGAAGUAGAAGACCUGCUGCGACGACUACAACAAGAAGAUGACUUUCUACCUGAUGCCGAUGCCAUGUUUCGCGAGCUUGUCCGCCUCGGCCAUAUGAUCGAGGCAAACACGAACGACGUCACCACACACGUCAGCGUCGCGGGUCCGUUGACCGUGGCGGUGGCCGAGUCGCUCAAGACGGUGGACGCGCCAUCCGACGGGCACGACUGCCCGAUCUGCAUGGAGGAUGACAACUCGGCGGCGUGGAAGGAGACGCCGUGCGAGCACCGGUUCCACGGACGGUGCGUCGAGAGGUGGCUGCAGGCCAAGGGGAGCUGCCCCAUGUGCCGGCGCCAGCUGGUGACCAUGCCCGCCGCCGCCGCCCCUAGUACCGCUGGAUUCUCUGACUUAGAGCUGGAUGCCAUCAUGGACCUCGUGAAUUACUAG